GCGUCGGUGGUUCAGUGGUAGAAUACUCGCCUGCCACGCGGGUGACCCGGGUUCGAUUCCCGGCCGACGCA
rnacentral:tRNA from 3 species